CCAGCCGUUGACGGCGAAGGCAUUGGGCUCGUUCGAGAGGUUCGUUCAACCGAUGCACACAGCCAAGCUAAGCGGCAACACAACAUCAAGCUGUGUGCCGGCUGGUCGGCGGCGCGUUGCAGUGUGGUGUGGUGCGGCGGGGGGCUGUGUGUGAUACGACACGGCUAUGCCCGACCGGCUGGUUGGUUGGCAUUGGCCGAUGUAGCCAAAGGAAAAAGCCAUUGCGAUUUUUCGGAAUUGAAAGGAUCAGUUUAACGCGAAUUACGGUUACGAAAGGAUGACACUUUCCUGUUGCAGUAGCGAGUGUCGGCGGCGUAUGCAAGCGUGUUAGUGAUAAAGUGCAAAUUUGCCACACACACACCAAUACACAUGAGAAAAAUUUGUAAUAUUUUGAACGUAACGGAGUUUUUCACUGUGCGAGUAUUUUUGAAAAAAUAUUUAAAAGUUUAUUUGAAAAAUCUGCUGACAAUGUAAAAUUAUUUUUUCAUUUGUGCGCAGCCGAGAAAUUUCGAAAUACGCAUUUUUUCAAGUCGCACGAUCCGGACCUAGCACAACGUAAAAACACGCGUGUGUGGCAAAGUUAACGGGCGGUAGUUGCUGCGUUGUACAUUGGAAACUUAUUUGUUUUACAAGUUUGCGCAAAAAUGCAAGAAUCUGUGGCAGAAAACUAAACUAUUUUAAGCUUUCAAGAAAUAAUUGCUAACAACGGCUGCAUUUUCAACAAUAACUGCGGUGUAAUUUAUAAUAUGUAGCAUACUUUUGUGCGUGAGAAGAAAAUUUAAUUUAAACGAAAACCGUUGCAUACAUUCAGGCGCAUAAAGAGAGAUACUGGCGUUUUAAGGAAAACAAUAUAAAAAUUGAGCUAUUAUUUGCUCCAAUUCCUGAACGAUUUGUGAAAGUAAUUAAAAAGAAAACUAUUGCCUACCUUAAGGCGCAUAAGUUGAAAUACUGGCAUUUUCUCAAGAACUAUACAAUAUACUGGCGUUUUAAAGAGUGCUAAACAAAAAUUACGUUGUUAUAAUUUCAACCGAAAAUCUAUUUACGAAAAUAUAUUAAAAUCAAAAACUGUUGCAUACCUUCAGGCGCAUAAAAAGAGAUGCUGGCGUUUUAUAUAAUAAAAUUGAGCGCUUAUUAGUUUCAAUUGAAGAACGAUUUGUCAACAUUUGAUUAAACUGAAAAUUAUUGCAUACCUUCAGGCGCAAACGAAGAGAUACUUGUUUUCUUCGAAAUAUGUAAAAAAAUUGAUCUCUUUUUAACUGCAAUUGGAGAACGAUUUGUGAAAAUUUUAUUGAAGCAAACUUUGUUGCAUAACUUUAGGCGCAUAAGUGAAGAUACUGACAUCUUAUGGAAAAUUAUGUAAUAAGUGAGCUCGUAUUAGUUACAAUAGAGGAAAGAUUUAUGAAAAUACUUUUAUAGACUUAAAUUGCAUACUUUUGCGCGCAAAAUUCUUAAAAGUGAAAAGUAUAAUUUCUGAAGAAAUGUUUGAAGUAAUUUUUAGUGAAUUACUAAAUGGCUUGGCAAAUAUUUAACACUACCAAAAAUUCGGCAUGGCUGAGGCUGAAAUAAAGAUUUAAAGUAACUGUGAAGGCUAAAAUAUACUAAAGAAAGACUUUUCGGUGAACGUAACUAAUUUUCGUGUGGAGUUUUCAAAUUCAAGAUUGUAAAAUAGUGCGAGAGGCAUGUUUCUGUGGGAAUAUUAAACACUAAUAAACAUAAAAAGUGUAUUCAUAUGAUACUAACUCUAAUAAUUGCAUAAUUUUCGGCUGAGUUUUUCAAAAACUAUAUUUUAAGGCCAAAAGCUUUGCAUACUUUUUAGCAUACGGCUGUUAGAAAAGACAUUCUCGAAAGCAAAAUUAAUUUGCAACAGCUGAAGUGAAUAUUUUAAACCUUAAGCAGUGUUUGCAUAAUUUAAGCAACCUAGAAGUAUACUAAAUAAUUCGAAACAUGUAAAUAAUGUGAAAUUUUUAAACGCCACUAACAAAAAACAACAAUUACAUAUAAACACAAAAAAUUAAAAAAUAUUGUUAACUGAUACAACGCCUAAAAUUAGGCUACAAAAUUAAUAAGCAUAUUUCAACCGUACUUUUGGUAACAAUACAACAUAUUUUCAUAUAAGCAUAUCAUUUGCUAGAAUAAAAAUAACAACAAAAAUAUACCAACUAAUACUUUUCGAAACGUUAUUUAUACACAAAACUACACUGAGAGUAUAUCUCGCUCGCUUAAAGUUGAACGGUUGUGAACAGUACGCUAGCACACAUACACACACACAUCAAAAUAUAUAAAUACAUGCUGUGUAAGUUGUGGCUGAGUUUGGAAAAUAAUAAAUAUAAGCUCUUACUAACUUUUCGUAAAACACAUUGCAUACUUUAAGGCGCACUUUGUAAGAAAAAUUAAAUUUAAACGCAGAUAAGUAGUAAAAGUUGGAUGAAA